rnacentral:rRNA from 1 species
ACGGAGGGUGCAAGCGUUAUCCGGAUUUAUUGGGUUUAAAGGGUCCGUAGGCGGGCUUAUAAGUCAGUGGUGAAAGCCUGUCGCUUAACGAUAGAACUGCCAUUGAUACUGUAAGUCUUGAGUAUAUUUGAGGUAGGUGGAAUUAGUAGUGUAGAGGUGAAAUUCAUAGAUAUCGUUGGGAACACCAGUGGCGAAGGCGGGUUUCUAGGAUGUAACUGUCGCUGAGUCGCUAAAGCGUGUGGAGCAAAGAG